AUUGAACGCUGGCGGCAUGCCUUACACAUGCAAGUCGAACGGUAACAGGUCUUCGGAUGCUGACGAGUGGCGAACGGGUGAGUAAUACAUCGGAACGUGCCUAGUAGUGGGGGAUAACUACUCGAAAGAGUGGCUAAUACCGCAUGAGAUCUACGGAUGAAAGCAGGGGACCGCAAGACCUUGUGCUACUAGAGCGGCCGAUGGCAGAUUAGGUAGUUGGUGGGAUAAAAGCUUACCAAGCCGACGAUCUGUAGCUGGUCUGAGAGGAAGAUCAGCCACACUGGGACUGAGACACGGCCCAGACUCCUACGGGAGGCAGCAGUGGGGAAUUUUGGACAAUGGGCGCAAGCCUGAUCCAGCAAUGCCGCGUGCAGGAUGAAGGCCUUCGGGUUGUAAACUGCUUUUGUACGGAACGAAAAGCCCCGGGUUAAUACCCUGGGGUCAUGACGGUACCGUAAGAAUAAGCACCGGCUAACUACGUGCCAGCCGCCGCAGUAA
rnacentral:rRNA from 1 species